CCCAGACUCCUACGGGAGGCAGCAGUGGGGGAUAUUGCACAAUGGGGGAAACCCUGAUGCAGCGACGCCGCGUGAGUGAAGAAGUAUUUCGGUAUGUAAAGCUCUAUCAGCAGGGAAGAAAAAAGACGGUACCUGACUAAGAAGCCCCGGCUAACUACGUGCCAGCAGCCGCGGUAAUACGUAGGGGGCAAGCGUUAUCCGGAUUUACUGGGUGUAAAGGGAGCGUAGGCGGCAAUACAAGUCGGAAGUGAAAUACCCGGGCUCAACCUGGGAAUUGCUUUGGAAACUGUAUGGCUGGAGUGCUGGAGAGGUAAGCGGAAUUCCUAGUGUAGCGGUGAAAUGCGUAGAUAUUAGGAGGAACACCAGUGGCGAAGGCGGCUUACUGGACAGUAACUGACGUUGAGGCUCGAAAGCGUGGGGAGCAAACAGGAUUAGAUACCCUAGUAC
rnacentral:rRNA from 1 species